UACGUAGGGGGCAAGCGUUAUCCGGAAUCAUUGGCGUAAAGCGCGUGUAGGCGGUUCCGUAAGUCCGCUCUGAAAGCCCAGGGCUCAACCCUGGGAGGCGGGUGGAUACUACGGAACUGGAGUACGGAAGAGGAGAUUGGAAUUCCUGGUGUAGCGGUGAAAUGCGCAGAUAUCAGGAGGAACACCAACAGCGAAGGCAGAUCUCUGGGACGUUACUGACGCUGAGACGCGAAAGCGUGGGGAGCGAACAGG
rnacentral:rRNA from 1 species